rnacentral:rRNA from 1 species
CCUACGGGAGGCUGCAGUGGGGAAUAUUGCACAAUGGGCGCAAGCCUGAUGCAGCCAUGCCGCGUGUGUGAAGAAGGCCUUCGGGUUGUAAAGCACUUUCAGCGGGGGGGAAGGCGGUGAGGUUAAUAACCUCAUCGAUUGACGUUACCCGCAGAAGAAGCACCGGCUAACUCCGUGCCAGCAGCCGCGGUAAUACGGAGGGUGCAAGCGUUAAUCGGAAUUACUGGGCGUAAAGCGCACGCAGGCGGUCUGUCAAGUCGGAUGUGAAAUCCCCGGGCUCAACCUGGGAACUGCAUUCGAAACUGGCAGGCUAGAGUCUUGUAGAGGGGGGUAGAAUUCCAGGUGUAGCGGUGAAAUGCGUAGAGAUCUGGAGGAAUACCGGUGGCGAAGGCGGCCCCCUGGACAAAGACUGACGCUCAGGUGCGAAAGCGUGGGGAGCAAACAGGAUUAGAUACCCGAGUAGUC